rnacentral:lncRNA from 1 species
CUCGGUCCACGAUCGUCCAUGCACGUCCUGCUGUUAGCGUCCACGUCCAAGCUCCAUGAGUUUUGUUCACCUUUAGUAGGUGCACGCUUGGACUACGGUUGUACAUGCAAUCAUGCACCAUAUGUGGUAUUUAUACCACCUGAGAUGAUAAUACAAAUUGGGAGGCAGUCUUUCCUCCCAAUUUGUUAGUUUUGUUGAGAUGGCUUUAGGUCUUUCUUCUCUUAGAAAGCAACGAUUGUCACAAAGGAUUAAGAAAAACAGCUAGCUUUCCUCUUCUUCUUUUUCCAAAGAUGAUGAGCUAGCUUUCCUCUCGAUUUGCGACGUGUAGGGGAGGCCAUAUAUGAACAUGAUCCAGAAAUCUCUCAUGCACCCCUUCAGGAAUUAAAAAAGGCGUUUAAUUUGUUCUGCAGCCUACAUACUAUAUCGAACCAUCGUCUCUUUUUCUUGCUGCAGUUAAUAAUACAAUACGACUCGAACAACAGUACUCCACACCAUGCCAGUGGUUUGUAUUGAACACAUUACAGAAAUAAAGCAGUCCUUUUGCUUGUUUGGAAAAGGCUUCUCCUGCAUACUCCAGAAUCCAGAUAACACUAAUUCAGGGGUAGUCCCACCGUCACAUAAUCGUACUGAAAUCAUAUACUAAUCCAUCUAUAGUAGCCUCACAUAGGAGUCGUACUAAUAUCACCGUUCAAUGUUACCUUGUCGAUCAUGAUCGUGCUCCUGUCUAGAGCAAGUUUAAUUGUGUUCCCUAGAACGUCAUAGCGAUACCAACCUGCCUGAUUAUGCAAUUUUCUAGAUCCCGGGUAUGUUGGAUUAAACUCUGCACACGCUCUACCUCUGUUAGCUUUGCACUGUAGUUAUUCUUCAGUUAACCGUAGCAGUUCUUGCUGUUUUCUUCAGUUAGCUGUUAGCAGGAAAUAAGGGCCUGUCAGUGAGCCUGUUCACGAUAUGGUCGUAGUUGUUUUUCUUUUGAUUAUUAGCUAGGUAGUUAGGCCGCACUAACCGCACCAUGGGAUGGCAUGGAGCAUGCGAGUAUUGCGGCAGUAGAGAUCACGCAUGACUUGGGCGUCGUGGGAUGGCACGACCUGUUAGCUCAGUCAGCGAUCUGAUCAGUUUGUUAGCUAUUUUGGUGGAUCGUUGGAGACCACAUAAAUAAGGGUGAAUCAGAAACAGAAAAGCUGCAGUUACAGCACGCAGCGCAAAAAAUACCUCUUGUGUUCAUCGUGUCCAAGUGAGCUGAGAGAGUGCGUGUUUGGCAACGUCAAUUGGUAUCAGAGCCUUGUUGCUUUGGUGACCAUGGUCGGAACACCACCAGCAAAGGUUGGAGGCGCCGCGGCGGCGGCGAAAGCGGCGGGCCGCACAUCGGACAGGUCAGUGACCCCGGUGGGCGGACGCGCGCAAAGUCGUGGCAGAAGCCGAAGCAGGCGUGGUGGCGGGGAGAUCGUGGUCCGGGAGAUCGUGCGCGAGGGCGGCGGCGGCGGCAGCGUCACCUUCCCCACCCUCACCAAGACGAAUUACCAGGAGUGGGCGAUCCUGAUGCGGAUCGCGCUCCAGGGCGCCGGCCUUUGGGAGGCCGUGGACACCGGCGACGCCAUGGAGCGGCAGGAGCGCCAGGCGCUCGGCGCGAUCCUCAGGUCCGUCCCGCCGGAGAUGGUUCCAGCACUCGCGGCCAAGGACGAGGCCAAGGCGGCCUGGGACAUGCUGAAGACGAUGCGCGUUGGUGACAAUCGCGUUCGCGAGGCUCGCCGCCAGAGGCUCUGCAAGGAGUUCGAGGCCAUGGCAUUCAAGUCCGGGGAAUCCGUCGAGGACUUCUCGAUGCGGAUGUCCGGCCUCGUCAGCGAGUUGCAGUCGCUCGGCGACAACACCACCGAGCUCGACGCCAUCUACAAGACUCUCCGCGUCGUGCCGACGCGGUACACGCAGAUGGCGUGCUCCAUCGAGACGCUGCUCGACCUCAGCACACUCACCAUCGAGGAGCUGAGCGGUCGCCUGGCCGCGUCAGAGGGGCGUGGCGCGCCGGAGCCAGAGGCCGGUGGCCGUCUGCUGCUCACGGAAGAGGAGUGGGCUGCAAGGCAGAAGCAGCGCGCCGGGGAGUCGAGCGGCAAGCAGGCCGCUGCGCCCAAGCCGCCGGCCGGUUUCAAGGGAGGAAAAGGCGCCACCGAGCGCCGCAAGGGCAACUGCCGGUACUGCGGCAAGGCCGGCCACUGGGCGAAAGAGUGCCGGAAAAGGCAGCGCGAUGAAGAGCGCGGCAACGUGCAAGCCAACCUUGCCCAAGCUCAAGAGGAAGAAGCACCUGCCAUGAUGAUGGUCAUCGUCACUGAAUCAACGGCGUCGCAGAUCGUGGCAUCGCAGACAGUGUUCCUCAAUGAGGAGAGGGUGUUCCCUGUGCCCUCACCAGAUGGACUGUGGUACUUUGACACUGGUGCAAGUAGCCACAUGACAGGGGAGAAGCAUGUCUUUGCAACCUUGGAUGAAACCGUGCGUGGCUCGGUGAAAUUUGGCGAUGGUUCCCUGGUCAGUAUCUGCGGAAAGGGAUCUGUUCUGUUUAGAGGGCAGUCAGGUGAUCAGCGCGUCCUCGCAGGCGUGUACUACAUCCCGAGCCUCCGGAGCAACAUAAUCUCCGUUGGCCAGCUGGACGAGGGAGGGUACAAGAUCGGCAUAGCAGAUGGCAUGAUGACGAUCCGUGAUCCCGUGCACAGCCUGCUCGCGCGCGUCAAGCGCACCGGCAAUAGACUCUACACUGGCAUCCUGUCACACGACACGCCAGUGUGCCUGAUGAGCAAGACCGACGACGCUGCCUGGAGAUGGCAUGCUCGUUUUGGGCAUCUGCACUUCCGUGCUCUCCACACUCUGUCUAGGCGAGACAUGGUGCGUGGCCUACCCAAGAUUCGUCGUGUUGAAGAGUACUGUGAUGGAUGUGCUUUGGGGAAACAACACCGCACGCCUUUCCCAAGCGCAUCAUCGUUCAGAGCACAGCAGAGCCUCGAGCUGGUCCACACUGAUCUUUGUGGCCUAAUCUCUCCGACGACGCCAGGAGGAAACAACUAUUUCUUGCUUGUCGUGGACGACUUCAGUCGUUACAUGUGGAUCGAGAUCAUCAAGGUGAAGAGUGAUGCAUACUACUUCUUCAACAAAAUCAGAGUCGCUGCAGAGGCGAUGGGCAACUGCAGGCUCCGGGCUUUCCGCUCCGAUCGCGGAGGAGAGUUCAAUUCAGGCGAGUGGCGCGAGCUCUGCGACACCAACGGCAUCCAGCACUACACGACGGCGCCAUAUUCCCCACAGCAGAAUGGGGUCGUCGAGAGACGAAACCAAACUGUCGUGGAGAUGGCUCGUUGUCUGCUCAAGAGCAUGAAGAUGCCGUCUCGUUUCUGGGGAGAGGCUGUCAGAACCACAGUCUACAUACUGAACCGUGCUCCUACUCGUGCACUCGAUGGCAUCACUCCGUAUGAGCUCUGGCAUGGCCAGAAACCGAACGUCCAGCACAUGCGUGUGUUCGGUUGUGUUGCUCACGUCAAGAGGGUUGGCCCUGGCAUCAACAAGCUUGCAGACCGCUCCACCAUGUGUGUGUUCAUUGGCUACGAAGCUGGCUCAAAGUGCUAUCGAGUCUAUGACCCAGCAACAGGCAAGCUGCAGGUGUCGCGCGAUGUUGUGUUUGAGGAAAGCAGAGCAUGGAACUGGGCAGAGGAGCAAGUGCAAGCGUCAGGCAACACAUCCUUCUCAAUGACGUAUGUCGAGGAGUCGGGCACCAUGCAGAUCGACACUGGCGUAGAGACACUAGCUGGGCAAGCUUCAAGUUCUUCUACUGGUGGCAGUUCCUCGAGGUCUGUCACGCCAGCGCCAGCGCCACUCACGCCCACCGGCACCGCUUCAACGCCGCUCACGCCAGCGGACAGACUGGCAUUCGUUGGGCAACGCCACUCACGCACGACGACGGCCGCGACACGGACACCGGGCCGAUUCGCUAUCGGCGCCUGUCCUGCGUCCUCGAUGCCACGGAGGAUGAAGCCAUCAGGGAGCUGGGCGAGCAGUGCAUGCUCGCUGCCGAAGAGCCUCAAAACAUCAACGAGGCAAUCGCAGAUGAAGCGUGGCGAGCUGCCAUGGACGAAGAAAUGGCAUCAAUCACUGAAAACAAAACCUGGGAGUUGUCUGCACUCCCUCGAGGCCACAAAGCGAUUGGCCUCAAGUGGGUUUUCAAAGUAAAGCGCGACGCCGCCGGCAACCUCGUCAAGUACAAGGCUCGCCUCGUCGCGAAAGGCUACGCCCAGCGCCAGGGGGUGGACUUCGAGGAGAUUUUUGCUCCGGUGGCCAGAAUGGAGACGGUGCGUGUCCUUCUCGCGCUGGCGGCACACUCUGGCUGGGAAGUACACCAUAUGGACGUAAAAUCUGCAUUCUUGAACGGUGUACUCAGCGAGGAGGUCUACGUGUGCCAGCCACCGGGAUACGUCGUCGCCGGCAAGGAAACUGCAGAAAGCUCUAUAUGGACUCCAUCAGGCACCUCGGGCAUGGUAUGAAAAACUUGAUGUUUCACUUGUUUCACUUGGAUUCAUCCGCAGUCCAGUAGAGCAUGCUGUGUACAAGAGGGGUGACAGCAAUUCAUACUUGCUGGUGGGAGUCUAUGUUGACGAUUUGAUCAUCACCGGCACUGAUGUACAGUUCAUCUCUGAAUUUAAACAUCAGAUGCAGCAACUCUUCAAAAUGAGUGAUCUGGGCCAUCUCAGCUACUACUUGGGGAUUGAGGUCACCCAAUCUGAUGGUCAGAUCACGCUGUGCCAGAGGAGAUAUGCUGAGAAGAUACUGGAGACUGCUGGCAUGAGCAACUGCAACAGCUGCCGCGUCCCAAUGGAGUGUCGUCUGAAGGUGAAGAAACAUGAUGACACAGGAGAGGCUGAUAAAACCCUCUACAGAAGUGUGAUUGGCAGCCUCAGGUACCUGGUAAACACACGGCCAGACCUUGCUCUUGCCGUAGGUGUUGCCAGCAGGUUUAUGGAAAAUCCCACUCAAAUUCAUUGGGGUUUGAUCAAGCAAAUUUUGAGGUAUGUACAAGGAACAUUGUCCUUCGGUUGCAGCUUCAGAAAAGGGGAAGGGGAUCCUGUACUUGUUGGAUACAGUGACAGCGAUCUAGCAGGUGAUCCAGAUGAUCGCAAGAGCACCUCUGGAGUCACCUUCUUUCUUGGCCACAACAUUGUUUCCUGGAGUUCACAGAAACAGAAAACUGUGGCCUUGUCCUCGUGUGAAGCAGAGUACAUUGCCGCUGCUGCAGGGGCGUGUCAGGGUGUGUGGCUCAGUCGCCUUCUUGGUGACCUGACCGGGCGAGCUCCUACAAAGUUCAGGCUUCUAGUGGACAACAAGUCAGCGAUCGCUCUGUGCAAGAAUCCAGUAUUUCAUGAUCGCCGUAAGCACAUUGACAUGAAGUUUCACUUCACCAGAACCUGCAUCGAGAGAGGUCAAGUGGAUGUGGAUCAUGUGCGCACGGAGGAGCAGCUGGCAGACAUUCUCACGAAGGCGCUUGGCUUCGUCAGGUUUAUCGAACUGCGUCGCUUGCUGGGUGUCGUCGAGGUGCAAGUUUAAGGGGGUGAAGUGUUGGAUUAAACUCUGCACACGCUCUACCUCUGUUAGCUUUGCACUGUAGUUAUUCUUCAGUUAACUGUAGCAGUUCUUGCUGUUUUCUUCAGUUAGCUGUUAGCAGGAAAUAAGGGGCUGUCAGUGAGCCUGUUCACGAUAUGGUCGUAGUUGUUUUUCUUCUGAUUAUUAGCUAGGUAGUUAGGCCGCACUAACCGCACCAUGGGAUGGCAUGGAGCAUGCGAGUAUUGCGGCAGUAGAGAUCACGCAUGACUUGGGCGUCGUGGGAUGGCACGACCUGUUAGCUCAGUCAGCGAUCUGAUCAGUUUGUUAGCUAUUUUGAUGGAUCGUUGGAGACCACAUAAAUAAGGGUGAAUCAGAAACAGAAAAGCUGCAGUUACAGCACGCAGCGCAAAAAAUACCUCUUGUGUUCAUCGUGUCCAAGUGAGCUGAGAGAGAACGAGUGCGUGUUUGGCAACGUCAGGGUAUACCGUGACACUAAAUCACACUUCGCGCCCAAUUGAGGCCAGGGAGGCAGGGAGUGUUGCUGAAAACAUGUCAAUUGCUCCCAAAUGUUUCUACACAUCUCAGCCCAUGAAGAUAAAUUGACGAAAAUAUGAGGAUAAACUGAGGCAAUCAGAUCUUGAUACCUGCAGCAAACUUGCCUGAUCUGGAUCCUCCAUGGAAACCUCGGUCGCUCUGGAGAGAAGGCCGGGGCAUCAGGAAGCUAGAUGCGAUGCGAUGCGUCGCGUCUCCUGAUCCCCUCCAUGCCCGCUACCUUCCACAGCAUAGCUUCUCCCCAUCCCCCGAUCUCGCUCGGCGCCGCCGCGGCUGGCGGAGGGAAGGCUCGUCAGCCCACCGGUUGUUUGGCUCGCCGCUGCCGUAAGAUGCCCCUGCUCGAGGCGCCGCCACUCUCUCAAGGGAAAAGGAGCUCGCUUGUUUUGCUGUUGGAGAGUGAAAAAAAAGAAGACCCUAAAAGACGAGUAUUUAAAGCAUCAGCGAUCGCGUAGCUAGGCGCUUUCAGAAAUGGAAAGCGUAAACUGUUACUCUACGCCGAUCACUCUUCGAACUCUUACUUGG